rnacentral:rRNA from 1 species
AUUGAACGCUGGCGGAAUGCUUUACACAUGCAAGUCGAGCGGCAGCACGGGGGCAACCCUGGUGGCGAGCGGCGAACGGGUGAGUAAUACAUCGGAACAUGCCCAGUCGUGGGGGAUAACACUUCGAAAGAAGUGCUAAUACCGCAUACGUCCUGAGGGGGAAAGCGGGGGAUCGCAAGACCUCGCGCGAUUGGAGUGGCCGAUGUCAGAUUAGCUAGUUGGUGGGGUAAAGGCCUACCAAGGCAACGAUCUGUAGCUGGUCUGAGAGGAUGAUCAGCCACACUGGGACUGAGACACGGCCCAGACUCCUACGGGAGGCAGCAGUGGGGAAUUUUGGACAAUGGGGGCAACCCUGAUCCAGCCAUUCCGCGUGAGUGAAGAAGGCCUUCGGGUUGUAAAGCUCUUUCGGCAGGAACGAAACGGUGAGCUCUAACAUAGCUUGCUAAUGACGGUACCUGAGGAAGAAGCACCGGCUAACUACGUG